rnacentral:rRNA from 1 species
GACGAACGCUGGCGGCGUGCUUAACACAUGCAAGUCGAACGGAAAGGCCCUGCUUUUGUGGGGUGCUCGAGUGGCGAACGGGUGAGUAACACGUGAGUAACCUGCCCUUGACUUUGGGAUAACUUCAGGAAACUGGGGCUAAUACCGGAUAGGAGCUCCUGCUGCAUGGUGGGGGUUGGAAAGUUUCGGCGGUUGGGGAUGGACUCGCGGCUUAUCAGCUUGUUGGUGGGGUAGUGGCUUACCAAGGCUUUGACGGGUAGCCGGCCUGAGAGGGUGACCGGCAACAAUGGAACUGAGAUACGGCACAGACUCCUACGGGAGGCAGCAGUGGGGAAUAUUGCAGAAUGACCGGAAGGCUGAUGAAGCAACGACGCGUGCGGGAUGACGGUCAUAGGGUUGUAAACCGCUUUCGCCUGUGACGAAGCGUGAGUGACGGUAAUGGGUAAAGAAGCACCGGCUAACUACGUG